AAACCCCGUCUGUACUAAAAGUGCAAACACAAAGGGAACUGCGUGGCUUGUUUCUACCUGAACAUUGUCAAGUGAUUUCAUCCUUUGAAACACAGUUGUGAAGUGUGUCCAGCAGUCUGAGAACAAGAAGAAGAAGAAAAUCUAAUCCUUCAGGGUGUCUGUGUGCCAGCCCUGCUCUCAGCACUUCCCAUGUGGAACUCCUUUACUUCUCCUAACAACUCCAUGACAUGGGUUAGACUGUGAUUGUUCCCAUAUUGUUGGUAGGGAAACUGAGGCAUGCAGGUGUUACAGAGCUCUCUCAAGUGGCAAGCUUUCUGGGUGGUUACAGAGUGGCAGAGCUGGGGUAUCCCAUGAUGUCACCACACUGCUAUAUGGAAAAGAACAUUAAUCGAGCACCUACGUGCUUGAUUCUCUUAAUUCUGUGACUGAACUCUCAAAACACCCUGGGUUGGUUUCCUUUUUACAACUGCCCAAGUCAUGAGUUCAUAGGGCCUGGAUGGCUGUACCGGAUUGCUCUCCAGCUGGUCUCUCUGCAUCCAGAAAUUUCUACAACCUACUGGGAGCACUGCGUGUUUUGAAAUAUACAAAUAGUGGGAAACGAAAUCUUUGUUCUGGAUGCAGUUAUAAUUUGGAAAGCGAGGAAAUAAAUUAUAACAAGGGGAAAAAACAGAAUACUACUAAAGUCAUGCCGUGUGACUUCUGAAGCUAGCUCCUAAGAAGUCCUUGCAGCUUCUGCCUGCGACUCUUAGAACACUUGCUUUGAAGGAUGCCAGAUGCUGUCUUAAAAGUCUGAGCACUCUGAAACCAUCAUGCUGUGAGGAAGCCCAAGCUAACCACAUGGGCAAAAAAGAUGCCCUCUGACUGCCACCAUUUGAGACACUCUAAUUAAGAACUGCCUCAUUGAGCCCAUGAGGCCCUGUGAAUGAUAAUAAUAAAUUGUUUUUAACCAC
rnacentral:lncRNA from 1 species